GGCUCACUAUUAUAGUGGUAUUAUUCUUGCUUUGGGAGCAAGAGGUCCUGGGUUCAAUUCCCAGGUGAGCGCU